AUUGAACGCUGGCGGCAGGCCUAACACAUGCAAGUCGAGCGGAUGAAGGGAGCUUGCUCCUGGAUUCAGCGGCGGACGGGUGAGUAAUGCCUAGGAAUCUGCCUGGUAGUGGGGGAUAACGUCCGGAAACGGGCGCUAAUACCGCAUACGUCCUGAGGGAGAAAGUGGGGGAUCUUCGGACCUCACGCUAUCAGAUGAGCCUAGGUCGGAUUAGCUAGUUGGUGGGGUAAAGGCCUACCAAGGCGACGAUCCGUAACUGGUCUGAGAGGAUGAUCAGUCACACUGGAAGUGAGACACGGUCCAGACUCCUACGGGAGGCAGCAGUGGGGAAUAUUGGACAAUGGGCGAAAGCCUGAUCCAGCCAUGCCGCGUGUGUGAAGAAGGUCUUCGGAUUGUAAAGCACUUUAAGUCGGGAGGAAGGGCAGUAAGUUAAUACCUUGCUGUUUUGACGUUACCAACAGAAUAAGCACCGGCUAACUUCGUG
rnacentral:rRNA from 1 species